GCCGAAGUGGUGGAACCUGGUAGACACGCUAUCUUGAGGGGGUAGUGGGUUAUGCCCGUGCGGGUUCAAGUCCCGCCUUCGGCACCA
rnacentral:tRNA from 1 species